CCUACCGCCUACUCUCCUGGUACGACUUACGAGUCUCCCCGUCUAUGGGGAGUCCAACCUCAGUGCCGUCUUCUACAAAUGAACCCUAAGUAACCUCACAACUUGUUAGACCUAGAGGAGGAGCUAAUGGCAACCCACGGUGCCAACCUCCGGCAAUUCGGCCUUCUCUCAGCAGCGAAAGAAGCAGCAGAAAACGCUCGCUUCCACGCUCGCUCCGCCCGCCGAGCCAUCACCCGCUUCGCUCGCCCAGGCGCCUUCUCCUACCCCGCCAAUCGCGCCGCUGCAGCUUCCCGCUUCUCACGCAACCUCGCCGCUUUCCGCGGGCACUACUCCCUCCUCCUCUGGUUCUCCCUUCUAGCCUUCCUCUUCCCCUCCCACCGCGCCACGAUGCUCUUCCUCAUGGUCAUCUCCAAGGUCGUCCUCUCCUACGCCGUCCUCCUCCGUCUCUUCCCUCACUCCGCCAUCCUCCACCGCAUACUCGACCGCCGCAUCGUUGCGGGUGUCUUUCUCGUAGUCGUAAUGGUCCAGCUCGCGCUUGCGGGAGCAGUUGUUUACCUAUUUAUCGCGACUGCUGCUGUUGCGCCGAUCGUGGUUGCGCACGCCGUGUUCCGGACUGCCGAUAGUUCGUUGGCCGCAGGGGCAGGGGAGAAUGGCAAACUUGCCGGUGAGACGAUUCCGAUAUCUGAGAAGAAGAACGCCGAUUUGGAAUCUGGUGGAGGGCAGAUUUCCGAUCGAUCGGCCUAGGGUUUCGUCCAGGCGUACAGAUACCAGUUUCUAUGGUGAAAAAGGUUUGCGAAGUCAGUACGCAGCUCUUCGUCGCUGCUGCAUCCAUUGAUUCACGGCUGCUUAGCAGCAUCAUUCAAAUCAUCUUUUUGUGGAAUUGAAGACGAGCUUGUCGAGAUCUUAGGCUUCAUUUGAGAAGGCGUCAAAGUUUUGUUCGGUUGGAGUGAACGCUCAGAAAUUUUUGAUUGGUGAAACAGCAGGAGACGAACAUCUGGUGAAGGUCUUUCAGAAGAGCGAUAAAUUUUCGUUAUUUCAAGUCGCAGUUUGUCUCCUUCGGUUCAAUGAAUGUAACUUUUAAAAGAAAUUGUAUGAACGAUGCUGCAGUUUCAAAUGAAGCUUUUUAGUCAACCGGAAGUUUGAUUUUGAAAG